UACGAAGGGGGCUAGCGUUGCUCGGAAUCACUGGGCGUAAAGCGCACGUAGGCGGCUUGUUAAGUCAGGGGUGAAAUCCUGGAGCUCAACUCCAGAACUGCCUUUGAUACUGGCGAGCUUGAGUUCGGGAGAGGUGAGUGGAACUGCGAGUGUAGAGGUGAAAUUCGUAGAUAUUCGCAAGAACACCGGUGGCGAAGGCGGCUUUCUGGACAGAUACCGACGCUGAGGCACGAAAGCUAGGGGAGCAAACAGG
rnacentral:rRNA from 1 species